GACGGAGGAGGCAAGCGUUAUCCGGAAUUAUUGGGCGUAAAGGGUACGUAGGCGGCGGGUCAAGUCUGGGGGCAAAGGCCACAGCUCAACUGUGGGAAGGCCCUGGAAACUGCCAGACUAGAGUAAGGUAGGGGUUGCGGGAAUUCCCGGUGUAGCGGUGAAAUGCGUAGAGAUCGGGAAGAACACCUGAGGCGGAAGCGCGCAACUGGGCCUCAACUGACGCUGAGGUACGAAAGCUAGGGGAGCGAAUGGG
rnacentral:rRNA from 1 species